UACGUAGGUGGCAAGCGUUAUCCGGAAUUAUUGGGCGUAAAGCGCGCGCAGGUGGUUUCUUAAGUCUGAUGUGAAAGCCCACGGCUCAACCGUGGAGGGUCAUUGGAAACUGGGAGACUUGAGUGCAGAAGAGGAAAGUGGAAUUCCAUGUGUAGCGGUGAAGUGCGUAGAGAUAUGGAGGAACACCAGUGGCGAAGGCGACUUUCUGGUCUGUAACUGACACUGAGGCGCGAAAGCGUGGGGAGCAAACAGG
rnacentral:rRNA from 1 species